AUACGUAGGUGGCGAGCGUUGUCCGGAAUUACUGGGCGUAAAGGGCGUGUAGGCGGGGGGACAAGUCAGAUGUGAAAUACCGCGGCUUAACUGCGGGGGUGCAUCUGAAACUGUUCUUCUUGAGUGUCGGAGAGGAAAGUGGAAUUCCCAGUGUAGCGGUGAAAUGCGUAGAGAUUGGGAGGAACACCAGUGGCGAAGGCGGCUUUCUGGACGAUAACUGACGCUGAGGCGCGAAAGCGUGGGGAGCAAACAGGAUUAGAUACCCUGGUAGUCCACGCUGUAAACGAUGGAUACUAGGUGUAGGAGGUAUCGACCCCUUCUGUGCCGGAGUUAACACAAUAAGUAUCCCGCCUGGGGAGUACGGCCGCAAGGCUGAA
rnacentral:rRNA from 1 species